GACGAACGCUGGCGGCGUGCCUAAUACAUGCAAGUAGAACGCUGAAGGAGGAGCUUGCUUCUCUGGAUGAGUUGCGAACGGGUGAGUAACGCGUAGGUAACCUGCCUGGUAGCGGGGGAUAACUAUUGGAAACGAUAGCUAAUACCGCAUAAGAGUAGAUGUUGCAUGACAUUUGCUUAAAAGGUGCAAUUGCAUCACUGCCAGAUGGACCUGCGUUGUAUUAGCUAGUUGGGGGGGGAGCGGCUCACCAAGGCAACCAUACAUGGCGGACCUGAGAGGGUGAUCGCCCUCUCUGGACUGGAAAAAGGGCCCAGAACCCUACGGGAGGCACUCUUUGGUAAUCUUCGGCAUGAGAUUGAGUUUGAAAGAACGCCGGCCCUCUGAAUGAGAGGGAUUUUGAGACGGCAGCCCGUCGGUCAAAAAAACCCCCCAAUUCGCGGCGUGGAGGGAGCGGGGGGGGGGGCUUAGAAGGGGGGGGA
rnacentral:rRNA from 1 species